rnacentral:rRNA from 1 species
UGUAGGCGGUUCGUUAAGUCGGGUGUGAAAGCCCGGGGCUCAGCUCCGGAAGUGCGCCCGAAACUGGCGAGCUGGAGCGCGGUAGAGGAGGGUGGAAUUCCUGGUGUAGCGGUGAAAUGCGUAGAUAUCAGGAGGAACACCGGCGGCGAAGGCGGCCCUCUGGACCGUUGCUGACGCUGAGACGCGAAAGCGUGGGGAGGCAAAACA